UCAAUUAGCCUUUUAAAAUGAUAAACUUGGAUUAGCUAACACAACGUGCCAUUGGAGCACGGGAGUGAUGGUUGCUGAUAAUGGGCCUCUGUGUGCCUAUGUAGAUAUUCCAUUAAAAAUCGCUUGUUUCCAGCUACAAUAGUAAUUUACAAGAUUAACAAUGUCUACACUGUAUUUCUGCUCAAGUUGAUGUUAUUUUAAUGGACAAAAUUGUGCUUUUCUUUCAAAAACAAGGACAUUUCUAAGUUACCCCAAACUUUUGGACUGCAGUGUAUGUUUACAACUGAAAUCAUUACUAAUCAAUCUCUUAUCUAUUAUCUCUGUUGUGGCUAUUUGAGAAUUGUGAGAGCUAUACAUUACAUUUCUAUCUCCAAUGUUCCAAGCUUUGCACACCACUGAAUUAAUACAGCGUCCUAUGUCAUGUUUGUGUCAUGGCUCUUUAUCGCCCUCUGUAGGCCUGACUGUGUCGCACAAGAUGGAGAGGGGAAAUCUGCUGCAACACAUGCGUCACCCUUCCAAACCAACCAUAUCAGGUAUCUCAAAACUACUUGCGUGUGUCAUUCCUAUCGCUCAGAUCACCAUAGGUGCAGUGUACCUGUAUGACUGCCCCCGGCAGCACUACAUCCCCAUUUACCUGGUGGUAAUGCCCUGCUCUCCUGCCUACCAUGUGCCCAGGACUCAGAUGACAUGGCCCCCAACCUCCUGAACCACCUCUGCACCACCUGGAGCACCCUGACCUCCCUCUUCCUCUUCUGUUGGUUCAUCAGCGGUAACGUGUGGAUCUACUCCAUCUAUCAGCCCAAUUUCAACCAGACACUGACUGAGGACCCCUACUGCAACAAGACCCUGUACCUGUUUGCCUUCUGGACCACCACUCUAGCCUACAUUGUGCUGGGCCUUCUGCUGCUGGGGGGAUGCUGUAUGCUUGUCUGUGCCUCUAUACUGGGCAAGAGGGACCCUGAUGACAACAUAUCAUGAGGGAGAGGAUGAGAGGAGAGGAGACAACAGUACAAGACAGGAGGAGGAGGAAGGGAGAGUAGAGGGCAGUAGAGGAUUGAAUAACGAAUUAUUGGUUUUAACUGUUAUUAUAUAUUACUGUGUUUCUGUAUGAGAAACGUUGUUGCAUUCAUUCUCAUUAGUUCAAUUUUAAGCUAUUUAUACGUUAUUAAAUGUAUUAAAGAAAAUAUUCAAAU